UGCUCUAGAGACUGCAAAAAGGCCAG
rnacentral:piRNA from 1 species